AACGCAUAUUGCGCCUGUCGCCUUCGGGCAAGGGCAUGUCUGCCUCAGCGUCUUUCACACCCCUCUCCCCCGUUCCAUGGGAGGAGGAUCUGGCCCAGCGCCCGCUCCGCGGACGCCCGGCCGAAAAGCAGCGACGUGCGUGGGACCGCUCAUGCGGGCUUCAGCUUGGUAGGCCUUCUCCCCUCGUACGAGGGGGCAAAGCAUGCCGCUGCUGCCCGUGGACCCGUGCGCCGUCGAGCAGGGAACCUUCAACUCUAGACCUGAGGUCAGGCAAGACCACCCGCUGAACUUAA
rnacentral:misc_RNA from 1 species